UUCUGGACAGUACUGACGCUGAGAUGCGAAAGCGUGGGGAGCAAACUGGAUUAGAUACCCUGGUAGUCCACGCUGUAAACGAUGUCGAUUUGGAGUUUGUUGCCUAGAGUGAUGGGCUCCGAAGCUAACGCGAUAAAUCGACCGCCUGGGGAGUACGGCCGCAAGGUUAAAACUCAAAUGAAUUGACGGGGGCCCGCACAAGCGGUGGAGCAUGUGGUUUAAUUCGAUGCAACGCGAAGAACCUUACCUGGUCUUGACAUCCAUAGAAUUCUGCAGAGAUGUGGGAGUGCCUUCGGGAACUAUGAGACAGGUGCUGCAUGGCUGUCGUCAGCUCGUGUUGUGAAAUGUUGGGUUGAGUCCCGCAACGAGCGCAACCCUUAUUCUUUGUUGCCAGCGAUUUGGUCGGGAACUCAAAGGAGACUGCCGUUGAUAAAGCGGAGGAAGGUGGGGACGACGUCAAGUCAUCAUGGCCCUUACGACCAGGGCUACACACGUGCUACAAUGGCGUAUACAAAGGGAAGCGAAGGUGCGAGCUGGAGCGGAUCUCAUAAAGUACGUCUAAGUUCGGAUUGGAGUCUGCAACUCGACUCCAUGAAGUCGGAAUCGCUAGUAAUCGUAGAUCAGAAUGCUACGGUGAAUACGUUCCCGGGCCUUGUACACACCGCCCGUCACACCAUGGGAGUGGGUUGCACCAGAAGUAGAUAGCUUAACCGCGAGGGGGGCGUUUACCACGGUGUGAUUCAUGACUGGGGUGAAGUCGUAACAAGGUAACCA
rnacentral:rRNA from 1 species